rnacentral:tRNA from 2 species
GUCUGCGUGGCGCAGUUGGCCAGCGCGUAGGUCUCAUACAACUUCCCGUAUGAUCUUGAGUAUUCAAGUGCGAUCCUGAGGUCGAGAGUUCGAGCCUCUCCGCGGACA